GCAAGUCGAGGGGUAAGGUCCCGAUUUAUCGGGACACACGACCGGCGCACGGGUGCGUAACGCGUAUGCAACCUACCUUUAACAGAGGGAUAGCCCGAAGAAAUUCGGAUUAAUACCUCAUAACACUGCGAUAUGGCAUCAUAUUGCAUUUAAAACUCCGGUGGUUAAAGAUGGGCAUGCGUGACAUUAGCUAGUUGGUGAGGUAACGGCUCACCAAGGCUUCGAUAGGUAGGGGUCCUGAGAGGGAGACC
rnacentral:rRNA from 1 species